GACGAACGCUGGCGGCGUGCUUAACACAUGCGAGUCGAACGGAAAGGCCCUGCUUUUGUGGGGUGCUCGAGUGGCGAACGGGUGAGUAACACGUGAGUAACCUGACCUUGACUUUGGGAUAACUUCAGGAAACUGGGGCUAAUACCGGAUAGGAGCUCCUGCUGCAUGGUGGGGGUUGGAAAGUUUCGGCGGUUGGGGAUGGACUCGCGGCUUAUCAGCUUGUUGGUGGGGUAGUGGCUUACCAAGGCUUUGACGGGUAGCCGGCCUGAGAGGGUGACCGGCCACAUUGGGACUGAGAUACGGCCCAGACUCCUACGGGAGGCAGCAGUGGGGAAUAUUGCACAAUGGGCGGAAGCCUGAUGCAGCAACGCCGCGUGCGGGAUGACGGCCUUCGGGUUGUAAACCGCUUUCGCCUGUGACGAAGCGUGAGUGACGGUAAUGGGUAAAGAAGCACCGGCUAACUACGUG
rnacentral:rRNA from 1 species